CUCAUAAUGACCUUACUUGACUGGCUGCAUAAAAAGUCCCAAAUCUUCCUGCCAUUCCUUUCUCGUCUUGGCCUCUGGGCCGGGAGCACAAAGCCUAGGAAAGGACCCAGGGACAGAAAAAGGAAAUAUCGAGAUGACUCAUCUGAAGCCUGAAGACACUAAGCAGAUGGCCCGAGCCACAGAGGAUUUCACAGAAGGGCCCGGAUGAGAAGAGGACAGAUGCAGGGGUAAAUAUCCAGGAGUGAGAAUUAUGGGGCAUAUGGCGAGUGUAUAAUGAUUUACAAGAAAUUUUCAAGACAGGGCACAGUGGCUCAUGCCUGUAAUCUCAGCACUGAGAAAAAGAGGCAGGAGGAAGGCUUGAGGCCAGAAGAUCAAGAUCAGCCUGGGAAACACAGCGAGAUCCCUU
rnacentral:lncRNA from 10 species